rnacentral:rRNA from 1 species
AUCCUGGCUCAGGAUGAACGCUGGCGGCGUGCUUAACACAUGCAAGUCGAACGGACUUAUCUUAUGAAGCUUGCUUCGCGAGAUAAGUUAGUGGCGGACGGGUGAGUAACGCGUGGGUAACCUGCCGUAUGCUGGGGGACAACAGUUGGAAACGACUGCUAAUACCGCAUAAGCGCACAGCAUCGCAUGAUGCAGUGUGAAAAACUCCGGUGGCAUACGAUGGACCCGCGUCUGAUUAGCUAGUUGGUGAGGUAAACGGCCCACCAAGGCGACGAUCAGUAGCCGGCCUGAGAGGGUGAACGGCCACAUUGGGACUGAGACACGGCCCAAACUCCUACGGGAGGCAGCAGUGGGGAAUAUUGCACAAUGGGGGAAACCCUGAUGCAGCGACGCCGCGUGAGUGAAGAAGUAUUUCGGUAUGUAAAGCUCUAUCAGCAGGGAAGAAAAUGACGGUACCUGACUAAGAAGCCCCGGCUAACUACGUG